rnacentral:rRNA from 1 species
UGGGGAAUAUUGCACAAUGGGCGAAAGCCUGAUGCAGCAACGCCGCGUGAGUGAUGAAGGCCUUCGGGUUGUAAAGCUCUGUCUUUUGGGACGAUAAUGACGGUACCAAAGGAGGAAGCCACGGCUAACUACGUGCCAGCAGCCGCGGUAAUACGUAGGUGGCAAGCGUUGUCCGGAUUUACUGGGCGUAAAGGAUGCGUAGGCGGAUUUUUAAGUGAGAUGUGAAAACCCUAAGCUUAACUUGGGGACUGCAUUUCAUACUGGAAAUCUAGAGUGCGGGAGAGGAGAAUGGAAUUCCUAGUGUAGCGGUGAAAUGCGUAGAGAUUAGGAAGAACACCAGUGGCGAAGGCGAUUCUCUGGACCAUAACUGACGCUGAGGCAUGAAAGCGUGGGUAGCAAACAGGAUUAGAUACCCUGGUAGUCCACGCCGUAAACGAUGAGUACUAGGUGUAGGAGGUAUCGACCCCUUCUGUGCCGCAGUUAACACAAUAAGUACUCCGCCUGGGAAGUACGAUCGCAAGAUUAAAACUCAAAGGAAUUGACGGGGUCAUAGCUGUUUUCCU